rnacentral:rRNA from 1 species
AUACGUAGGGGGCGAGCGUUGUCCGGAAUGAUUGGGCGUAAAGGGCGCGUAGGCGGCCUUUUAAGUCUGAAGUGAAAGUCCUGGUUUUAAGUUGGGAAUUGCUUUGGAUACUGGAAGGCUUGAGUGCAGGAGAGGUAAGUGGAAUUCCCAGUGUAGCGGUGAAAUGCGUAGAGAUUGGGAGGAACACCAGUGGCGAAGGCGACUUACUGGAAUGUAACUGACGCUGAGGCGCGAAAGUGUGGGGAGCAAACAGGAUUAGAUACCCUGGUAGUCCACACUGUAAACGAUGAAUGCUAGGUGUAGGGGGUAUCGACCCCUUCUGUGCCGCAGUUAACACAAUAAGCAUUCCGCCUGGGGAGUACGGCCGCAAGGUUGAAACUCAAAUGAAUUGACGGGG